GGGCGUAGCAAUACGUCAGCGGCAGACGGGUGAGUAACGCGUGGGAACGUACCUUUUGGUUCGGAACAACCCAGGGAAACUUGGGCUAAUACCGGAUAAGCCCUUACGGGGAAAGAUUUAUCGCCGAAAGAUCGGCCCGCGUCUGAUUAGCUAGUUGGUGAGGUAAUGGCUCACCAAGGCGACGAUCAGUAGCUGGUCUGAGAGGAUGAUCAGCCACAUUGGGACUGAGACACGGCCCAAACUCCUACGGGAGGCAGCAGUGGGGAAUAUUGGACAAUGGGCGCAAGCCUGAUCCAGCCAUGCCGCGUGAGUGAUGAAGGCCCUAGGGUUGUAAAGCUCUUUUGUGCGGGAAGAUAAUGACGGUACCGCAAGAAUAAGCCCCGGCUAACUUCGUGCCAGCAGCCGCGGUAAUACGAAGGGGGCUAGCGUUGCUCGGAAUCACUGGGCGUAAAGGGUGCGUAGGCGGGUCUUUAAGUCAGGGGUGAAAUCCUGGAGCUCAACUCCAGAACUGCCUUUGAUACUGAAGAUCUUGAGUUCGGGAGAGGUGAGUGGAACUGCGAGUGUAGAGGUGAAAUUCGUAGAUAUUCGCAAGAACACCAGUGGCGAAGGCGGCUCACUGGCCCGAUACUGACGCUGAGGCACGAAAGCGUGGGGAGCAAACAGGAUUAGAUACCCUGGUAGUCCACGCCGUAAACGAUGA
rnacentral:rRNA from 1 species